rnacentral:rRNA from 1 species
GACGGAGGAUGCAAGUGUUAUCCGGAAUCAUUGGGCGUAAAGCGCGUGUAGGCGGUUCCGUAAGUCCGCUCUGAAAGCCCAGGGCUCAACCCUGGGAGGCGGGUGGAUACUACGGAACUGGAGUACGGAAGAGGAGAUUGGAAUUCCUGGUGUAGCGGUGGAAUGCGCAGAUAUCAGGAGGAACACCGAUGGCGAAGGCAGAUCUCUGGGCCGUAACUGACGCUGAGGAACGAAAGCCAGGGGAGCGAACGGGG